CAGCCGCCACGGGAAUACGGAGGGCGCGAGCGUUACCCGGAUUUACUGGGCGUAAAGGGCGUAUAGGCGGCCUGGGGCGUCCCAUGUGAAAGGCCACGGCUCAACCGUGGAGGAGCGUGGGAUACGCUCAGGCUAGAGGGUGGGAGAGGGUGGUGGAAUUCCCGGAGUAGCGGUGAAAUGCGCAGAUACCGGGAGGAACGCCGAUGGCGUAGGCAGCCACCUGGUCCACUUCUGACGCUGAGGCACGAAAGCGUGGGGAGCAAACAGGAUUAGAUACCCCCGUAGUCCCUGUCUCUUAUAC
rnacentral:rRNA from 1 species